rnacentral:rRNA from 1 species
GCCCUUAGAGUUUGAUCAUGGCUCAGGACGAACGCUGGCGGCGUGCUUAACACAUGCAAGUCGAACGGUCUACCUCGACAGAAACCUUCGGGUUGAAGACGAGAUCUAGAUAGUGGCGGACGGGUGAGUAACACGUGGAUAACCUGUCCUCAAGACUGGGAUAACCUGGCGAAAGUCGGGCUAAUCCCGGGUAAGCUGAGAGUGUGGCAUCACACAAUCAGAAAAGGUGGUUUUACCAUCGUUUGAGGAGGGGUCCGCGGUAGAUUAGCUAGCUGGUGAGGUAAAGGCUCACCAGGGCGACAAUCUAUAGCUGGUCUGAGAGGACGAUCAGUCACACUGGAACUGAGACACGGUCCAGACUCCUACGGGAGGCAGCAGUGGGGAAUCUUCCACAGUGGGCGCAAGCCUGAUGGAGCAACGCCGCGUGAGUGAAGAAGGUCUUAGGAUUGUAAAGCUCUGUCCUUAGGGAAGAACCGUGGGUAUAGCAAAUGAUACCCAUCUGACGGUACCUUUGGAGGAAGCACUGGCUAACUACGUGCCAGCAGCCGCGGUAAUACGUAGAGUGCAAGCGUUGUCCGGAAUUAUUGGGCGUAAAGGGUACGCAGGCGGAUAAUCAAGUCAAGCGUGAAAGGUGUCGGCUUAACCGACAGACUGCGUUUGAAACUGGUUAUCUUGAGUGUAACAGAGGAGAGUGGAAUUCCUAGUGUAGUGGUGAAAUACGUAGAUAUUAGGAAGAACACCAGUGGCGAAGGCGACUCUCUGGGUUAACACUGACGCUGAGGUACGAAAGCUGGGGGAGCGAACGGGAUUAGAUACCCCGGUAGUCCCAGCCGUAAACGAUGGAUACUAGGUGUUGGAGGUUCGAAUCCUUCA